UACGGGGGGUGCGAGCGUUGUCCGGAAUCACUGGGCGUAAAGGGCGCGUAGGCGGCUCAUGAAGGCUGUGGUGAAAGUCCGGGGCUCAACCUCGGAUCGGCCGUGGCGACUCGUGGGCUGGAGCACUGUAGAGGCGGGUGGAAUUCCGGGUGUAGCGGUGAAAUGCGUAGAUAUCGGGAGGAACACCAAUGGCGAAGGCAGCUCGCUGGGACGGUACUGACGCUGAGACGCGAAAGCGUGGGGAGCAAACAGG
rnacentral:rRNA from 1 species